UAUUGAAUUGAAAUGUAUAGAACUUGCUUGUCUGGUCUUUUUGUCGCCUUGGGGCUUCUUUUCCCCUCCCUCUUUCAAAAAGAAAGAGGGGGGUGGUUGGGUUGUUUCAUUGUGCACGUCUGAUCUUAAUUUGACCUCGUUCUCUUUUCUUCAACCCACCUGUGCAUUUUUUUGUAGGCUUUGGGUAAAAACCAAGGUUUCCUACGUUUCACAAUUUAUAUUAUUACUCUGUAUUGAAGAAUGGUUUGUUUUGUUAUUGGGCCCUUGUGUGUUCACACAAGGGACCUUUAAUAAUAAUCAAAUACAACUUUCAGCAAUGGAUCUCUUGGCUCUUGCAUCGAUGAAGAACGCAGCGAAAUGCGAUAAGUAAUGUGAAUUGCAGACCCCCAGUGAAUCAUCGAAUCUUUGAACGCACCUUGCGCUCCUUAGUAUUCUGAGGAGCAUGCCUGUUUGAGUGUCAUUAAAUUCUCAACUUAUCACAGUUUUUUUGUGAUAGGCUUGGAUUCUGGGAGGCUUUCUUGCGGGCUUCAACAAGUUUUUAAAUAAACUGGGAUUGAAGUCGGCUCUCCUUAAAUGUAUUAGUGAGACCUUUUGUUGAUCUGUUUCCCUAGUGUGAUAAUUAUCUACACUGCGAGCAGUUCAAUGUUGCUUGAUCAUGAUCAUCAUAUAUUAUUUAUGUGUACAUGAUUUAGCGGGGCCUUUGCUUUUCUAAAGUUAACUAAACCCUCCCUUAAGCUGUUGUCGCUGUUGUUGAGUUGUUUGUUAAACGACUUGAUCACCAUUGACAACAACAACUAAGGCUGUGUUGGUUAUAAUAUAAUUGACAAUUUGACCUCAAAUCA
rnacentral:rRNA from 1 species